AGAGUUUGAUCCUGGCUCAGAGUGAACGCUGGCGGCGUGCCUAAUACAUGCAAGUCGAACGCGAAAGUCCUUCGGGAUGAGUAAAGUGGCGCACGGGUGAGUAAUACAUGGGAACAUGCCCUUGGAUGGGGAAUAACGUUUGGAAACGAACGCUAAUACCGCAUAAUCUCGCAAGAGUAAAGGUGGCGCCGCAAGGGCUACCGUCCAAGGAUUGGCCCAUGUCCCAUUAGCUAGUUGGCGGGGUAAUGGCCCACCAAGGCAACGAUGGGUAUGUGGUCUGAGAGGAUGAUCACACACACUGGAACUGAGACACGGUCCAGACUCCUACGGGAGGCAGCAGUAGGGAAUAUUGCACAAUGGGGGAAACCCUGAUGCAGCAACGCCGCGUGAGUGAAGAAGGCCCUUGGGUUGUAAAGCUCUUUAGCGAGGGAAGAAGGUAGAUACGGUGAAUAAUCGUGUUUGCUGACGGUACCUCGAGAAUAAGCACCGGCUAAUUUCGUGCCAGCAGCCGCGGUAAUACGAAAGGUGCAAGCGUUACUCGGAAUCACUGGGCGUAAAGCGCACGUAGGCGGACUCGUAGGUCAAUUGUGAAAUACCUGGGCUCAACCCGGGAACUGCAGUUGAAACCGCUUGUCUUGAAUACCUGAGAGGGUGGGGGGAAUACCUGGUGGAGAAGUGAAAUUCGUAGAGAUCAGGUGGAACACCGGAGGCGAAGGCGCCUGCCUGGCAGUGUAUUGACGCUGAGGUGCGAAAGUGCGGGGAGCAAACAGGAUUAGAUACCCUAGUAGUCC
rnacentral:rRNA from 1 species